CAGCAGUCGCCGCGGGAAUACGGAGGGUGCAAGCGUUAUCCGGAUUUACUGGGUUUAAAGGGUCCGUAGGCGGAUCUGUAAGUCAGUGGUGAAAUCUCACAGCUUAACUGUGAAACUGCCAUUGAUACUGCAGGUCUUGAGUAAAUUUGAAGUGGCUGGAAUAAGUAGUGUAGCGGUGAAAUGCAUAGAUAUUACUUAGAACACCAAUUGCGAAGGCAGGUCACUAAGAUUUAACUGACGCUGAUGGACGAAAGCGUGGGGAGCGAACAGGAUUAGAUACCCCUGUAGUCCCUGUCUCUUAUAC
rnacentral:rRNA from 1 species